rnacentral:rRNA from 1 species
GGAUCCCCUAGUAACGGCGAGUGAACCGGGAAGAGCUCAAAUUUGUAAUCUGGCUGUCUUCGAUAGUCCGAGUUGUAAUCUAUAGAAGCGUUUUCCGUGCUGAACUGUGUAUAAGUCCCUUGGAACAGGGUAUCAAAGAGGGUGACAAUCCCGUACUUUACACAAUCAUCAGUGCUCUGUGAUACGUUCUCUACGAGUCGAGUUGUUUGGGAAUGCAGCUCAAAAUGGGUGGUAAAUUCCAUCUAAAGCUAAAUAUUGGCGAGAGACCGAUAGCGAACAAGUACCGUGAGGGAAAGAUGAAAAGCACUUUGGAAAGAGAGUUAAACAGUACGUGAAAUUGUUAAAAGGGAAACGAUUGAAGUCAGUCGUGUUUAUUGGAUUCAGCCGGUCUUCGGUGUACUUCCUUUAAACGGGUCAACAUCAGUUUUGUUCGGUGGAUAAAGAUGCUAGGAAUGUAGCUUCCUCGGAAGUGUUAUAGACUAGUAUUGCAUACACUGGAGGAGACUGAGGACUGCAGCUCGCCUUUUGGCCGGGGUUCGCCCACGUUCGAGCUUAGGAUGUUGACAUAAUGGC